GUGAAUAAUAUUCAGGGGCUGAAGGAGAGAAAGGAACAACGUAUUGUUGCAUGAGUGGAAGAGGUUGACAGACUGAAGAAAAGAGACUUCUCUCUUCGUAAAGGCUCUCUAUGCAACCAGGAACCUGGUAAGUCAUCCUUACUAGACAGAGAAAGAACAAGCACAUCAAAGCCUCUUUUGUUGUGGAUAUAGAAGAGGAGGUGAAGGUAACACACUACUUCCUUGUAUGCUUUUGUAGAAUUUCUGAUUUCCA
rnacentral:lncRNA from 11 species